rnacentral:misc_RNA from 1 species
AAGUCGUAACAAGGUAACCGUAGGUGAACCUGCGGUUGGAUCAUUAAUAAAUCUAGAAAGUCUUCAAGACUUCUCUAACAUCUUGUGAACUGUUCAUGUCUCUGGCAGGCUCUCGGGUCUGCCGAUUAAACUUUGUAUUCUAUUAAAAGCCUCUAAAUUUAAAAAAAGUAAUUAAAACAACUUUUGACAACGGAUCUCUUGGCUCUC